GGAGCGCACAGGUGACAGUUUGGUUUCUUUCUGUUGGCAGCUCUGCAUUGUGACAGCUGUCAAAAUUUGGCAUCGGAAGGACGUGACGUCAUUGAUCCCUUUUCCUCACGUUUUCGUAGUGAACGACAGCAGCAAAACUUUGAGCCAAAAUGGGUCGCGUUCGUACCAAGACCGUCAAGAAGGCCUCUAAGGUCAUUAUUGAGAAGUACUACACUCGGCUGACGAUGGAUUUCCACACAAACAAGCGCAUCGUCGAAGAAGUGGCUAUCAUUCCUACCAAGCCCCUGCGCAACAAAAUUGCCGGUUUCGUGACACAUCUGAUGAAGCGUCUGCGUCACUCCCAGGUGCGUGGUAUUUCCAUCAAGCUGCAGGAAGAAGAACGUGAACGCAGGGAUAACUACGUGCCGGAAGUGUCCGCUCUGGAGCAGGACAUCAUCGAAGUUGAUCCCGAGACCAAGGAGAUGUUGAAGCAGUUGGACUUCAACAACAUUGUCGUCCAAGUCACGAAUCCUUCCGCACAGGGUUACAACCGACGCAACUAAGUUUCAGCAAGUAUCUUGAUUAAGUCGGGGAGCACUGGGAUGUUGUUCUAAAAUUUCCCAAAUCUAAACAUCUGUGCAAGGAGAGUAUCGUAUUGUAUGCAAAAGUAUAUGAUCCUUCGCAAGUUAAGGAAAUAUAGAUGAUAACAAGGUAUAUAUCGGAACCAAAAUUUCAAAAGGGCGAAACAGCUUUUGCCAACAAUCAUCGUCGGUAGGCUAAUUCGUGCCCACCAACGCCAUUUAAUGAAGGAUAAGAAUUCGCUGCUUUCAUCAAUGGUAUUGGAUUGCAUGGGUGGGCUCAAAUGAGCUCACAAGCGACGUGAGAACCACUAUUUAGAAAAACAGUAUCGCCAUUUUGAAAAGUUGUAGUCGAUAUAUCUAGACCAACAUUUGAAAAGGGCGUAACAGCCAAAAUUUAUUUCUUCUGAUUCUUCAUCUACAUAUAUAGCAGUAUCAGCAGUAUCAGCAGAAAUAAAUUUUGGCUGUUACGCCCAUUUCUAUAGUUUUUCUAGUUAGUAAUUAAUGGAUAGUCUCCAAAGCUUCCACUCGUCUUAGUUUAGCUGUUUAGCAGGAAGAUCUAUGGGAGGCGUACAAAACAGCCUAUCGGCUGGCUUCAUAUGCCCAGGAAAUCCGAGGAUUGAAUAUAUAAAGAAAUGAAAAAAUCUCACACACUAUAGACAGACAUAUGAUUUGUGAUUUCUGUACGUACAAUGAGGUACACGUAAAGCAA